rnacentral:rRNA from 1 species
GGAUUAGAUACCCUGGUAGUCCACGCCGUAAACGAUGUCUACUAGUUGUCGGGACUCUUGCAGUCUUGGUAACGCAGCUAACGCGAUAAGUAGACCGCCUGGGGAGUACGGCCGCAAGGUUAAAACUCAAAUGAAUUGACGGGGGCCCGCACAAGCGGUGGAGCAUGUGGUUUAAUUCGAAGCAACGCGAAGAACCUUACCUGGCCUUGACAUACUGUGAACUUACUAGAGAUAGUUUGGUGCCUUCGGGAACACAGAUACAGGUGCUGCAUGGCUGUCGUCAGCUCGUGCCG